UUGCGGUCCCUGGGCUGUAAUUCCGUUCAACUUCAAGGCUAAUUUGGAGGGGGUGAUAUAUAUAUAAACACAGCAACACAAGAAAAACCCUAAGCCCCCAUCCGCCGAUUUCAACGAGAAUAAGGGGGAGGUUCCGCUGGAGCCAGAGUGAGGGGGAAGGCAUUGGUGUGCUGGAGGAGAUUGUUUCAGACAGCAGCUGGGAGGUCUCUUAAUUUUCAGCCACAAGAGGCUCAAAUCAAUUGAAGCCCAGCCACAUACGUGAAACAGUACUUGAAGACCCAACAAUGGGCUUGGCUACAUAUGUAAUUGGAAUACAAAUCAAGCACAAACAACAACCCAGCCGCAAGCCUAAAUUGAAUGCAGAAAAUGAAGAUCAAAUUGAAAGCCCAAGUCCAACACAAGGAAGAUCCAAGCCCAAAACUAAAGACCCAACUUGUGGAAACUUAUUAGAUAUUUUUUUUAUCUUUGUAUUAUUAAAUUAGAUAUUUUGUUUAUCUUUGUAUUAUUAAAUUAGAUAAUUGUGUGGUUUCCAUUACAUCUUGUGAAUUAUAAACAUCUCACUUAGUUGUAUUUGUAACCAUUCAAUUUUUCUUAAAUAAAAGCAUAGUUAUGUUCUUAGAA